UUUUUAAAAUUCGCUUAAAUUUAGGAGCAGUUUCCAGAUCUGGGCCCCAAGUUUGUAGACUAGAGCAGCAACAAAUAUACUGGAAGCUGAGAGCCAGGAGCAGAGCUUAAUUGUAUGUCAAUCUCUUGCACCGCGUCCUUCUGAGCUAUCCAGGGUCAGGGGUUAAGAGAGCGAGGCUGUGAAGGGGAGUUUAGAAAAGAGAGGAGAGAUGUGCCCCAAACAGAAAGAGCUCCUGCUGCCAGGAACCUCAAUCAAGGCAAGUAGGAGGGCUGCAAGGAAAAACACUUGAACCUAAAGGUGAGGACAGACCAAGGGCACACACACGGCUCCAUGUUACCAAUGAUCAAGGAGGUCGAAAGUCAAUGCGAAAUUUCAGUACGAGUGCAGGAGUGCCUGGUUCCCUCCAGUGAAAUAAGCAAUCUCUGGAAGAGACUAGGAGGCGUGAACCUACAAGUCUGGAUAGGGCAGCUUGUCCUACAGGUAAUUAAACUCUGGGUUCUAUUUUCUUUCUCCGAGCCAGUGAGAGCGGUGUCAGCUAGUCCCCCUGGUCAUGGUAAAGCAUGUCACAUAGUUGUCCCCACCCCAAGAACCCCAGGAGUGUGUGUGUGUGUGUGGGGUGGGGAAAGGCAUGCAGGGAGGGAGUCAUAGAAGGGAGGGACGAUAGCUGUAUUGUUACAGGGCAGGUGUAGCUGAGAAGGAGAAACUCCCGCCUCCUGGUGCCGUGGAUCCCAGGGAAGGAUAGAGGACAGGCAUUCUGCAUCCAUGAGGAGACCCCAAGCUAUCUCUUACCGAGAGUCUCUGGGCAGCUGGUGCCUGGGUGGAUGGGGGAGCUGUGGAUUUAACUGAGAAGCAGAGCUCCUAGAUCAUGGUCCUGGACCACCGGUGAGGAACACUGUUCGCCAGGCUCAAAGUGACAGGAGUGGAACCGUCUUUCCUGAGGAGCCACAGAGACCUGGGGGCUCAUAUGGCAACUAGACAGACCAGAGACCAUGGUCCCUGCUUGCAUGUGAAAGUCAGACCCACCCCAUCCCCUACUUUGAACUGUGUAAGCCUUUGGGUCUGGGACAAUUAAGGAGUGAAGGAGCCCCACGGAGGAGAUACUGAACUUCCUGCUAACCAGGCAAAAGGGGAAUUAAGCCGGUUUUCUUUACGGGAGAAAAUAAAAGACAGGCUCACCUUGUACCCUAACUUUGUGGGGCAGUUCAUCCUACUUACUCAGGCAUCUUGUAACCACGAAGAAAGCCAGCCUAAAAAGGAAUCUGGUGCACAAAUGUGGACAGGGCAGAGAGAAUCAGAGACAUGGAGCUGGAGCCCCAAUUAAACCAUAUUAGAAGGCUUCCCUAACUUAACUUUUCAGCCAUGUGAACCAAUAAAUUCUCUUCAUGGUUUCUCUUACUUGCACCCCAAAGCAUCUGAGCCAGUGCAUUGGGAAGGCAGCAUUACAGUGAACAUUGUGGGUUCACGUGUGUUCACAUACACACCCCUUACCCCAGCACCCAGCCUGAAUCUUUCCAGCGAGAGGGAACACACACACACACACACACACACACACACACACACACACACACAAAAGUGAACACUUUAAAGCUUUUGCUAACAAUUACCAAGACAUGGAACUGACAUCUUUUGAAAAGUUUUAACUGACUUCUGUAUUAAAAAUGAUUUGCAAUUUUAACGUGAAUUCUUAAGGAUAUCUCAGACUCUAGCAACUGGUAAUAAACUGUGUACAUUUUUUUCCUUAAAAAAAAAUCAUAUAUUGUUUGGGACCCUGUAAUAGUACUUAAAGUAAUAAAAGCAGCCUUUACCUUUA